rnacentral:rRNA from 1 species
CAAUAGCGUAUAUUUAAGUUGCUGCAGUUAAAAAGCUCGUAGUUGGAUUUCGGGUGGGAAUGGCCGGUCCGCCGUUUCGGUGUGCACUUGCUACGCCCACCUUGCUGCCGGGGACGUGCUCUUGAGUUCACGCUCGGGACACGGAGUCGGCGAGGUUACUUUGAGUAAAUUAGAGUGUUCAAAGCAGGCCUACGCUCUGAAUACAUUAGCAUGGAAUAACACGAUAGGACUCUGGCCUAUCUUGUUGGUCUGUAGGACCGGAGUAAUGAUUAAGAGGGACAGUCGGGGCAUUCGUAUUUCAUUGUCAGAGGUGAAAUUCUUGGAUUUAUGAAAGACGAACUUCUGCGAAAGCAUUUGCCAAGGAUGUUUUCAUUGA